rnacentral:lncRNA from 1 species
UUAUGGGCAACCAAUAAUACAAAUCAAGGCUAGCCUGGAAGACUUAAUUGAGAUGUUGGUUCAAAACAAAAUACAAAUAGAUAACUGAGUAUCUCAGAGAUAGAGUACAUGUCUAUGCCUACUACAUAUGAGAUGGCUCCAGGUGAUUUCCGAAAUAAAUGAGAAUAAAUCUGACCAAGUAGCUGAGCAUAACUGGACAUACUUGCAGACCGAGGUUCUGAUGGAAGCCAGAAGGAGUUAAGAAGACAUCGGACCUGUAGUUAAAGCUGGUUGUUAAGCAGCCUGAUAUAAGUGCUCGGAACUGAGCCUGGAUAGUUGGCAAUAACAGCAAGUAUUCUUAACAUGUA